rnacentral:rRNA from 1 species
GGGGAAUUUUGGACAAUGGGCGCAAGCCUGAUCCAGCCAUGCCGCGUGCGGGAAGAAGGCCUUCGGGUUGUAAACCGCUUUUGUCAGGGAAGAAAAGGUUCUGGUUAAUACCUGGGACUCAUGACGGUACCUGAAGAAUAAGCACCGGCUAACUACGUGCCAGCAGCCGCGGUAAUACGUAGGGUGCAAGCGUUAAUCGGAAUUACUGGGCGUAAAGCGUGCGCAGGCGGUUAUGCAAGACAGAGGUGAAAUCCCCGGGCUCAACCUGGGAACUGCCUUUGUGACUGCAUAGCUAGAGUACGGUAGAGGGGGAUGGAAUUCCGCGUGUAGCAGUGAAAUGCGUAGAUAUGCGGAGGAACACCGAUGGCGAAGGCAAUCCCCUGGACCUGUACUGACGCUCAUGCACGAAAGCGUGGGGAGCAAAC